rnacentral:rRNA from 1 species
GACGUAGGGCGCGAGCGUUGUCCGGAUUUAUUGGGCGUAAAGAGCUCGUAGGCGGCUUGUCGCGUCGUUCGUGAAAACCUGCAGCUCAACAGCAGGCUUGCGGUCGAUACGGGCAGGCUAGAGUUCGGUAGGGGAGACUGGAAUUCCUGGUGUAGCGGUGAAAUGCGCAGAUAUCAGGAGGAACACCGGUGGCGAAGGCGGGUCUCUGGGCCGAUACUGACGCUGAGGAGCGAAAGCGUGGGGAGCGAACAGG